rnacentral:rRNA from 1 species
CUAGCGACCUCCACCUCAGAGUGAACGCUGGCGGCAGGCCUAACACAUGCAAGUCGAACGGCAGCACAGGGGAGCUUGCUCCCUGGGUGGCGAGUGGCGGACGGGUGAGGAAUACAUCGGAAUCUGCCUAUACGUGGGGGAUAACCUCGGGAAACCGGGACUAAUACCGCAUACGACCUACGGGUGAAAGCAGGGGANCUUCGGNCCUUGCGCGGAUAGAUGAGCCGAUGUCGGAUUAGCUAGUUGGCGGGGUAAAGGCCCACCAAGGCCAAGGCGACGAUCCNUAGCUGGUCUGAGAGGAUGAUCNGCCACACUGGNACUGAGACACGGUCCAGACUCCUACGGGAGGCAGCAGUGGGGAAUAUUGGACAAUGGGCGCAAGCCUGAUCCAGCCAUGCCGCGUGGGUGAAGAAGGCCUUCGGGUUGUAAAGCCCUUUUGUUGGGAAAGAAAAGCAGUCGAUUAAUACCCGAUUGUUCUGACGGUACCCAAAGAAUAAGCACCGGCUAACUUCGUGCCAGCAGCCGCGGUAAUACGAAGGGUGCAAGCGUUACUCGGAAUUACUGGGCGUAAAGCGUGCGUAGGUGGUUUGUUAAGUCUGAUGUGAAAGCCCUGGGCUCAACCUGGGAAUUGCAUUGGAUACUGGCAGGCUAGAGUGCGGUAGAGGAUGGCGGAAUUCCUGGUGUAGCAGUGAAAUGCGUAGAGAUCAGGAGGAACAUCCGUGGCGAAGGCGGCCAUCUGGACCAGCACUGACACUGAGGCACGAAAGCGUGGGGAGCAAACAGGAUUAGAUACCCUGGUAGUCCACGCCCUAAACGAUGCGAACUGGAUGUUGGGUGCAAUUUGGCACGCAGUAUCGAAGCUAACGCGUUAAGUUCGCCGCCUGGGGAGUACGGUCGCAAGACUGAAACUCAAAGGAAUUGACGGGGGCUGUGGAGGUCGCUAGAUGGUCAUGGGAGUGUGGAGGUCGCUAGAUGGUC